rnacentral:rRNA from 1 species
AACGAACGCUGGCGGCAGGCUUAACACAUGCAAGUCGAGCGCCCCGCAAGGGGAGCGGCAGACGGGUGAGUAACGCGGGGGAAUCUACCCAUCACUACGGAACAACUCCGGGAAACUGGCGCUAAUACCGUAUACGUCCUUCGGGAGAAAGAUUUAUCGGUGAUGGAUGAGCCCGCGUUGGAUUAGCUAGUUGGUGGGGUAAUGGCCUACCAAGGCGACGAUCCAUAGCUGGUCUGAGAGGAUGAUCAGCCACACUGGGACUGAGACACGGCCCAGACUCCUACGGGAGGCAGCAGUGGGGAAAAUUGGACAAUGGGCGAAAGCCUGAUCCAGCCAUGCCGCGUGAGUGAUGAAGGCCCUAGGGUUGUAAAGCUCUUUCAACGGUGAAGAUAAUGACGGUAACCGUAGAAGAAGCCCCGGCUAACUUCGUGCCAGCCGCCGCGGUAAAAC